rnacentral:rRNA from 1 species
UACGGGGGGGGGGCAAGCGUUGUUCGGAAUUACUGGGCGUAAAGGGCUCGUAGGCGGCCAACUAAGUCAGACGUGAAAUCCCUCGGCUUAACCGGGGAACUGCGUCUGAUACUGGAUGGCUUGAGUUUGGGAGAGGGAUGCGGAAUUCCAGGUGUAGCGGUGAAAUGCGUAGAUAUCUGGAGGAACACCGGUGGCGAAGGCGGCAUCCUGGACCAACACUGACGCUGAGGCACGAAGGCCAGGGGAGCAAACGGGG